ACGUGACUCGGCCGUUGGUGAAUGUGGGAGAGGCAAACAGGGAAGGGGAGAGUGGCCUCAGAGACAGAGGAUGAGGCUGUCACUGGCUCGGCCAGCAUUUCUUGCUGCGUUUACCCAGAGGGCAGUUAAGAAUCAACCACGUUGCUAUAGGUCUGGAGUCCCAUGCAGACCAGACCAGGGUGAGGAUUUGCAGACUGAAAUCUCAAAAUCAUGUGCCAAUCAUGAUUAAGUUAAACAGAAUUUGACAAACCAAACAUGGGGAAUCACUCGGCCAAACUCCUGCAACACUCUCCCACACAGCAUUGUCGGUCUCUCUGCGCCAAAUGGACUGUGAAUGGUUCAAGACAACAGCUCACUACCAUCUUCUCAAGGGUAACUAGAGAUUGGGAAUAAAUGCUGGCUGAGCCAGUGAUGCCCAUAUCCUGGAAAUGGUUCCUAUCUCUAGUUGC